GGACGAACGUCACCUAGCAGACAGGUGGGAAGUUAGAGAGAGGGGAGCUGUCAGUCAAUCACCAGACUGAUAUGACAAUAAUGAUGCAGCAGUUUUACAUCUUAGCUUUUAACUAAGAUGUUUUGUUUUCAAUAGGUUUCUGUCCCUCAAACACACAGCUUCUCAGUCUUUCUGUCACUCUUUCACUUAUCUUUGAGUAGCUACUGAAGCAUCUUAUAACUGUAUGAGAUUACUGAAAAACCAUUCAACUAUCUUCAAAACUUUGACUAUUUAAAAUGAAAAUAUUUCAGCACUCCUCUCCCUUUUUGUAAUGGGAUAAAAUCCUAGGAAUCAAACUGCAUUUCAUUAUUCAUUAUUAUUGUUAUUUUAAAGAAAAUUCCACAGAAUAUAUGACCUAUUCCUAAAUGAUGAUCUGUUUAAAAUAAUGCUGAGGAAGUCAAUUCCAGUUGACUGUAACCAUGUCAAAAAUAAUAUUACCUAUAAAGAUUAUGCAGAAACCACUCCUCCAUUUCCUGGUUGCUAAAAUUCUAAUAGUUCACCUAACUUCAGUUUAUGUGACAAAACAAGCAAGUAUAGUGGAAGAGCAUGGCUUCAACCCUGUUCCUGUAGAGCUACUGUCCUAUAGGUUUUCACUCCAACCCUGUUCCUGUAGAGUUACUGUCCUGUAGGUUUUCACUCCAACCCUGUUCCUGUAGAGCUACUGUCCUGUACGUUUUCACUCCAACCCUGUUCCUGUAGAGUUACUGUCCUGUUGGUUUUCACUCCAACCCUGUUCCUGUAGAGCUACUGUCCUGUAGGUUUUCACUCCAACCCUGUUCCUGUAGAGUUACUGUCCUGUUGGUUUUCACUCCAACCCUGUUCCUGUAGAACUACUGUCCUGUAGGUUUUCACUCCAACCCUGUUCCUGUAGAGUUACUGUCCUGUUGGUUUUCACUCCAACCCUGUUCCUGUAGAGUUACUGUCCUGUAGGUUUUCACUCCAACCCUGUUCCUGUAGAGUUACUGUCCUGUUGGUUUUCACUCCAACCCUGUUCCUGUAGAGUUACUGUCCUGUUGUUUUUCACUCCAACCCUGUUCCUGUAGAGUUACUGUCCUGUUGGUUUUCACUCCAACCCUGUUCCUGUAGAGUUACUGUCCUGUAGGUUUUCACUCCAACCCUGUUCCUGUAGAGCUACUGUCCUGUAGGUUUUCACUCCAACCCUGUUCCUGUAGAGUUACUGUCCUGUAGGUUUUCACUCCAACCCUGUUCCUGUAGAGUUACUGUCCUGUUGGUUUUCACUCCAACCCUGUUCCUGUAGAGUUACUGUCCUGUUGUUUUUCACUCCAACCCUGUUCCUGUAGAGUUACUGUCCUGUUGGUUUUCACUCCAACCCUGUUCCUGUAGAGUUACUGUCCUGUAGGUUUUCACUCCAACCCUGUUCCUGUAGAGCUACUGUCCUGUAGGUUUUCACUCCAACCCUGUUCCUGUAGAGUUACUGUCCUGUAGGUUUUCACUCCAACCCUGUUCCUGUAGAGUUACUGUCCUGUAGGUUUUCACUCCAACCCUGUUCCUGUAGAGUUACUGUCCUGUUGGUUUUCACUCCAACCCUGUUCCUGUAGAGCUACUGUCCUGUAGGUUUUCACUCUAACCCUGUUCCUGUAGAGCUACUGUCCUGUAGGUUUUCACUCCUACCCUGUUCCUGUAGAGCUACUGUCCUGUAGGUUUUCACUCCAACCCUGUUCCUGUAGAGCUACUGUUCUGUAGGUUCACUCCAACCCUGUUCCUGUAGAGCUACUGUUCCGUAGGUUCACUCCAACCCUGUUCCUGUAGAGCUACUGUUCUGUAGGUUCACUCCAACCCUGUUCCUGUAGAGUUACUGUCCUGUAGGUUUUCACUCGAACCCUGUUCCUGUAGAGCUACUGUUCUGUAGGUUCACUCCAACCCUGUUCCUGUAGAGCUACUGUUCUGUAGGUUCACUCCAACCCUAAUAUAGUUCAGCUGAUUCUAAAAAAAAUACCUGGUUGAUAAGCUGAAUCAGGUUCAUUUACAACUUGGGUUGGAGUGAAAACCUACAGGAGGGAAGCUCUACAGGAACAGGGUUGGUGAGCCCUGGUGUAACCAAAAGUAUAUUAUUAUGAACAGCAGAAUUAGUAAGAUAGCAGCACUUUGCAAAAGAAAGCAAAUAUAAAAUAAAAGUGUAAAAAUAGAUAGAUAGUAUGACUAUUUGCUAUAUUUCUAAGAUUGAAGAAAAUAAGAAAUUAUGUAGAUGUAGAUUAACUUACUUCCAACAUUACAUUUACAUUUACAUUUAAGUCAUUUAGCAGACGCUCUUAUCCAGAGCGACUUACAAAUUGGUGCAUUCACCGUAUGACAUCCAGUGGAACAGCCACUUUACAAUAGUGCAUCUAAAUCUUUUAGGGGG